rnacentral:rRNA from 1 species
GACGAACGCUGGCGGCGUGCUUAACACAUGCAAGUCGAGCGGGGAUUGAUGAGGUGCUUGCACUGAUUCAAUUCUAGCGGCGGACGGGUGAGUAACGCGUAUGUAACCUGCCUGUCAGAAGGGAAUAACCCGGUGAAAGUCGGACUAAUACCCUAUAUGCUCACGAGAGGCUCCUGCCUUGGUGAGGAAAGAUUUAUCACUGACAGAUGGACAUGCGUCCCAUUAGCUGGUUGGUAGGGUAACGGCCUACCAAGGCAACGAUGGGUAGGGGAACUGAGAGGUUUAUCCCCCACAUUGGUACUGAGACACGGACCAA